rnacentral:rRNA from 1 species
UAGGGANUCUUCCACAAUGGGCGAAAGCCUGAUGGAGCAACGCCGCGUGUGUGAUGAAGGCUUUAGGGUCGUAAAGCACUGUUGUAUGGGAAGAAAUGCUAGAAUAGGGAAUGAUUCUAGUUCGACGGUACCAUACCAGAAAGGGACGGCUAAAUACGUGCCAGCAGCCGCGGUAAUACGUAUGUCCCGAGCGUUAUCCGGAUUUAUUGGGCGUAAAGCGAGCGCAGACGGUUGAUUAAGUCUGAUGUGAAAGCCCGGAGCUCAACUCCGGAAUGGCAUUGGAAACUGGUUAACUUGAGUGUUGUAGAGGUAAGUGGAACUCCAUGUGUAGCGGUGGAAUGCGUAGAUAUAUGGAAGAACACCAGUGGCGAAGGCGGCUUACUGGACAACAACUGACGUUGAGGCUCGAAAGUGUGGGUAGCAAACAGGAUUAGAUACCCUGGUAGUCCACACCGUAAACGAUGAAUACUAGGUGUUAGGAGGUUUCCGCCUCUUAGUGCCGAAGCUAACGCAUUAAGUAUUCCGCCUGGGGAGUACGNNNNCANGGUUG